UAGCCUUAAACUUAUGAGUAAGGAAAAUAAAAACCCGGGUGACGCUGGGUUUACGCAAAUACUCGUUGCGAAAAAUAUUUGGAGGGUGGCAGGCUGCCCUGGGGCUUGAUUCGCCUACUUUUGCGAAUCGCUCUUGUUGCUGCGGCCUCCGCA